UACGUAGGGUGCGAGCGUUAAUCGGAAUUACUGGGCGUAAAGCGCGUGUAGGCGGUUUUUUAAGUCUGAUGUGAAAGCCCCGGGCUCAACCUGGGAAGUGCAUUGGAUACUGGGAGACUUGAAUACGGGAGAGGGUAGUGGAAUUCCUAGUGUAGGAGUGAAAUCCGUAGAUAUUAGGAGGAACACCGGUGGCGAAGGCGGCUACCUGGACCGAUAUUGACGCUGAGACGCGAAAGCGUGGGGAGCAAACAGG
rnacentral:rRNA from 1 species